rnacentral:piRNA from 1 species
UGAAGGCCGAGUCAAACUAACAGGUGGCAGU